rnacentral:rRNA from 1 species
AUUGAACGCUGGCGGCAUGCCUUACACAUGCAAGUCGAACGGCAGCACGGGGCAACCUGGUGGCGAGUGGCGAACGGGUGAGUAAUGCAUCGGAACGUACCUUUCAGUGGGGGAUAACGUAGCGAAAGUUACGCUAAUACCGCAUAUUCUGUGAGCAGGAAAGCAGGGGAUCGCAAGACCUUGUGCUGAUUGAGCGGCCGAUGUCAGGUUAGCUAGUUGGUGAGGUAAAGGCUCACCAAGGCGACGAUCUGUAGCGGGUCUGAGAGGAUGAUCCGCCACACUGGAACUGAGACACGGUCCAGACUCCUACGGGAGGCAGCAGUGGGGAAUUUUGGACAAUGGGGGCAACCCUGAUCCAGCCAUGCCGCGUGAGUGAAGAAGGCCUUCGGGUUGUAAAGCUCUUUCGGCCGGGAAGAAAUCGCACGGGCUAAUACCCUGUGUGGAUGACGGUACCGGAAUAAGAAGCACCGGCUAACUACGUGCCAGCCGCCGCCGUAAGAC